rnacentral:lncRNA from 1 species
GAGAAAGGAGAGUUCCAAAGAGAAAGAACUUCAUGAGGAUGAAGAGUUUAAGAGAAAAAGAGUUGGGUUCAAAGUGAAGAGGAAAAAGGGUUGGAGCUAGAAGAAGAUCUAGGAGCUCUAUCAAGAACCAUUCCACUUUCUUUCUCCUUGUUUUAUAAGGUAAGGGAAGUUUUGUUUAUGGGUAGAGGUUGGUUGAUGAAGGGAGAGAAUGAAAUUCAUUCUCAUCUCCCAAGAUCCUUCAUCCCUCUCAUUAGAUUUGGGUUUUGUGAUAAAACCCUUGGGUGUAGAUUGUUAUUUUUGUUGUUGUGAAUAAUCUUAUUGAUGCUUUAGAAUUCAUGUUUGAAUCCAUGUUAUCUUGUUGUGUUGUUCAUUUGUGUGUUGUUUUGAGAAAAAUGAGUUUUUAUAUGAUUUAAUGAAUUAAUGAUGAUGAAUCUUGAUGAUUUUGUGUUGAUUGUUGAUGGAAUGAUGUUUGUUGAGGUUUAAAUAUCAUGAGUGUUGAUUAGUGAAGUCUUAGGACUAAUGGGAUUCAAAUUGGGUUUUUGGAAAAUCAAAGAUUGAAUUUUUAUAGUUUAAGAAAAACUGUUUUUGAUAAAGUCUGCAGAAAAAACGUGAAAGUUUGACCCCUUUGUGUUCUGAACUGGUUUUUGACUUCAACAUAAAAGUUAUAGCUCUUUCCCUUAGCUUUCCAACGCAUGUUUACGCGUUGAAAUCCGAUUUACGUAGCUCAACUUAUGGUCUGCGCGGUGAGCAGGUCAAAACCUGCAAAAUUCUGCAGGUGGAUGCUGUCUUUUGCGCCUCAUGCGCAAAUCGCAGUCCUGCAACUCUGGUUUGCGUUGUUCUGUGAUGUUAGGUCUAUUUUGCCGAUCCCUUUUUAUCCCUAAUCUUUAUACUACUUAAUCCUAAUUAUUACGUGAGUUUAGGAGAGUUUAAAUCACUACUUUUCAUGAUAAAACUUAGUGAUUAAUUUGGAGAAGUUGUUUUCGAAUUAAAACGAAUCUAGUAAAGAAUAAUUAAGAAUUUUGGGAAAUNNNNNNNNNNNNNNNNNNNNNNNNNNNGAUAAUGGUGAUGAAUAUAUGAAUGAAACUAAAUUGAUGUGUUAGUUAAUGUAUUUAAUUGAUAAACUUUAUUUGUGAGUUUAUUGAUGAAGUGUCAUUGAUGUGGAUUAUUGAUGGACUCUAUUUGUGUACUAAAUGAUGAAUUUUAUUAGCGUGUGAAUUCUUUUGGUGUAUUAGUGAUGUGUUCGUGCGUAUGCACAAUGACGGUAUUUUCAUGCGUAUGCACAAUGACGAGGUGUGAUUGUUCAUGAAUAUAAUUAGGAUGUUCAAUUUAUUGAUGAUAAAUAAGGAUUUAUCAUGCGUAGGUGUAUUCUAAAGACGAUGAUUUAGAAUAUUUGGAUUAUGUUAUCCAUAUUAUGUUGAUGUUGUAGUUGAGAUAAAACUAUAUGUUUGGUAUAUGCACAUUCAUGCAUUCAUAAGUUGUGUUUAUUGAUGAGUAUUCUAGAGACGAUGAUCUAGUUUACUGUUGUUUUAGAGACGAUGAUCUAAAACAUUUGGAAUAAGUUUUCCAAAAUNNNNNNNGUAACUAAUGUUGUAUGAUUGAUUUAAUUAAUUGGUUAGUGAUGUGUAAAUUGAGGUCUUGAUUAAAUGGUAUAAAUGUUGCAUGAAUUAUUAAUGUGAUAUAAUCAUGUUUAUACCUUGUUGUAUAUUUCUUUUUUUUUUAUUCAUUACAUAAACUCACCCUGUUAUUUGUUAUUUGACUGGGCACUUGGGAGCCCAAUUUCUCAGGUGUUGCGUUUUGGUGUUCGUGUUCCGGUGUAGCCUCGCUCUGAUUUGGACACAUAGGGAGGGUGUAUAGUAUUUCAUUUUUUUUUAUAUGGUCUAGGUUAAGACAUAAAAAUGUAUAAGCCACUGGUAAAAGAUUUUCAUCUAAUGCACGUGUAUACUAAUUAAAUUUAUAGCAAUGUAAUUUGGGAAUAGUAAACCCUAAUUCAUAAUAUUCAUCUAUCUCCAUCCUUAAUUAUUAAUCAAUAAAGUUUUAUUUUUAUCCGCUGCGAAAAUUUUAAAACAAUCCUC